AUUUUUAAGAAUGUUCCUUGCAACUUUGAUUCUAACAAAGAUGAAAUGAAGGCCUGGACACUAAACUGGCUGAAUGGUUAAGACAGCAUUACUCAAUAGUAUUUCAACACAGGGUGUUGGGAUAUAAGCCACAUUCAGGAGAGCUGGACAGAGAAUUCCUACAACAGAACAAGAAGAAAAUAUAUCACUGUCCAUUAAAGAAUCAUGUUAGAUCUAUAGCAGGACACACAUUAUGAUGAUCCAGUCUGUUUUCCAAAUAUAAUAUAUUCAAAUGUGUUCUUUUCUUUCAGUUUGUUUGAACUCUGGUAAGGACCCAGCUGCUAUUUUCAUUGGAGCACUUUCCAGUUUACUCAUGGGCCAAGCUUUCUACUCUUUUUUUCUGGAUGAAACAUCCAAGGUAUUCAUGAUGUGUACAAAUUCCAUCUUGUGGCAAUAACUGACUACCAGUCUGAUUGCUGGGAAAACCUCUGAAUAUGAUAAUUAUUUUACUGUAUGUUUUGAUGUUUCUUCUGUUUGGAAUUAAACAUUGCCUUGAAAGUGUUCCUUGACUGCAAGCAAUCACUUUACAGAGUAUGCUAUUAUCACAUAUUUGCUCUUUGCACUAUGUAGAAGGACGGAACAAAUAAAAACAAACUGUCCAUACAGCCUAAAGUACUCAAAGUCACCACUUUCAAUUCACUGUGAAUGCUGUUGGUUUCCCUACUGAUAAAUUCUUAAACAAGUCAGGACCUUUGGAUGACAGCACUGUGCCUGGAACUGCUGUAGGUUAUAUAACCUGUGCAAGCGUAUAGUAUGUAUGGCCACACUUAAAAUUUUGCUUGGAAAAAAAAAUAAAUGAAACAAUUCCUUCAUCCAUUGAAGGGAUAACACCUCUCCAUUUCACCUUUCAUUCAAAUGAAUCAAAAAGUACUUCCCAGAAUAAUAGUUUUUUUGUUUGUUUUUUGUUUUUAAAUCUAUGUGGGAAGGAAUAAAUGCAGAAUCCUUUCUUCCCUGUCCAGACAAACUGACUAUGCUGAUAGUGCUUCUCAUCAUGCACAGUGAUGCUUCACAAUUAGCCUGGACACAGACCAACAGGAUUUUCCAGUUCUAGAGUUCAUGAGUUCAUGCAGUCAAUGGUAACUUUGGGAUGCCUGCAGUUCAUAACCAAGAGCUCUGACCUUUGUUGAGACACCUUUUUUUUUUUUUUUCCCUCCUGAACUGGAACAAAGCAGCUGCCACAAAACCUGAGAGCAGCUCAAAAGAGAAAUAAGAAAAAACAAAUCUGUAGUUGCAAAAGGAAAGUCUUAAAUACUACUCAGUGUCAGAAAUAGGAAAAAAAAAUACAGAGAAUGCCAGUACAAUUUAUUAAUUACAGUUCCAGUACAGUAGAACCCAUGGGAAUUAUUUUAAUUCCCUACAGCUGACAACAGGGAAAGGAGAACACAAGAAUAUGUAAGAGUAAGAAAAUAUUUGAAUUUUCAUAUGUAUUAAUAUAGGUUCAGAUAAGUGA